UACGUAGGUCCCGAGCGUUGUCCGGAUUUGUUGGGCGUAAAGCGAGCGCAGGUGGUUUAUUAAGUCUGGUGUAAAAGGCAGUGGCUCAACCAUUGUAUGCAUUGGAAACUGGUAGACUUGAGUGCAGGAGAGGAGAGUGGAAUUCCAUGUGUAGCGGUGAAAUGCGUAGAUAUUAGGAGGAACACCAGUUGCGAAGGCGGCUCUCUGGACUGUAACUGACACUGAGGCACGAAAGCGUGGGGAGCAAACAGG
rnacentral:rRNA from 1 species